GAGGAAAGAAAGCUAUGUGGCAGGUUCCUCUUGUGCAGUACUCUGUGCUAAAUCCUGCUGGGAAACUAAGGAUUAAAGGUUGUCCUGCCCCCUUCCACUGAUGCCAUGGGAGAUGAUGUGUCGGUAGGCUUUCCUGCUGUCUCCCUCAGCAGAUGGAGUGGGUGGUUUGGCCACCUCAACAAGCUCUUGGCAGGGAAGGAUUCAAGCCAUAGGCAACCCAGAAGACAGCAACAGGGUUUGAUCCUGAAACUGCUGAGAACCUCCAGGUCUUCUCUCAGGAAUGGGCUCCUGAACUAAAAUGUUGCUGUGUGACGUGGAACAGCUGCUGCGUUCCACCAGGCCUGCAUUUCCGUGAUGGGUGAAAUUAUUCCUGUAAAUAUAGUAAUUUAAUUUAUCAAAAAUCAACACUCCACUUUCUCAGAAACACAGCUGUAAUAGCUUAUAAGUUCAGCAAUAUAUAGCACCCUCUCGGAUACUGGUGUGGUAGGAAACACACUGACUUGUUAAUUACAACUACGGUCUGUAGCUUGUACAGUGCUUCUGCCAGGAUUUACCAUGUCUGCCUGGCACAAGCUGCAGAAGCAAGUCCUGUAGGCCUGCCCUGUGGGUCCUUCUUGUCCCCACACCCUCUGCCCAGAGCCAAUUUUUCUCAUGCUCCUUCUUCCUAUGGUUCUGACUCCCACUGCCUCCCUAUGCUGUGGUUUUGCUGUCUCCUUCCCAUUUUUAUUCAAACAAGGUGGACCCACCAUUUUUUGGCUGCCCUCCAUUCACUUUGUCCCAUAUCCUGCUUUCUUCUCCCUGCUGCUCCCU